ACUGCAAGAAACAUUUAUGGCUGACGUCAUUUUCGGGUUUCAAUUAAUUUCUUUGUCAACACAGCAAUACUGCUAGCCUUCUUCCAGGCCUUUCCUUGGGUUCCUCAUUGUGAGCUAAGUCGAAUCACCAACAACAGGAAACCCGAAAGCCACAGGAUACCCGAAUGAAAUUUUUAGGACCAGGCUCAACUAUCCACAGGAAACCCAAAAUCACAAGAUACCGGGGAAAAAAUAUAUUACCAGGCUGAACCAACCAAGGAAAACCAAUAUCACAGGAUACCCGGAAAAAAAACUAGGCUACGAUAACCACAGGGAACCCAACCCUAGACCAGUACUUACAAUGUUGACAUCUGAGUAGUAAAAGAGAGUUCUUGUGCUGGUGAAGAUGACAAGCAAUACGAUGAUAUGAACAAGGUACGCCAUGUAGGUAAGGCGGCUGAGUGGGAUCCAGAACCGAGCGGACAAGAUCUUAUUCACGAGGCCUGGAGAGAGAAUGACGACAUGUUAAUAAGGCAGGUACGCCAUGUAGGUAAGGCGGCUGAGAGGGAUCCAGAACCGAGCGGAAAGGAUCUUAUUCACGAGGCCUGGAGAGAGAAUGACGUCAUGUUAAUAAGGCAGGUACGUCAUGUACGUCAUGUACGUCAUGUACGUCAUGUAGGUAAGGCGGCUGAGAGGGAUCCAGAACAGAUAGCGAAAAGUAUCUUACACGAGACCUGGGGAGAGCAUGACGUCAUGGUUAACAUGUAGGUAAGUUGGCUGAAAGGGUUUCAGAACCGAUAGC